rnacentral:sRNA from 1 species
GAGGGAGAGAGAAAGAAAGAAAGAGAGAGAGAAAAGAAAGAAAGAGAAAGGAAGGAAAGAAAAGAAAAGAAAAAGAAAGAGGUCACAUUCCUCCAGCUCACUGAUUCAAAUCCCUAGAGCUCUUUAGGGACCCUCUUAGUCUCUCCACAUCUCUCUGAUGAGUAGGAUCCAUGCAGAGGAAAUGUCAACCCACCUGCAAUCCUGCAUUCAGGACCAACUGUCACUUCCAUACUCUACUAACCACCCUUCUAGCCCCUCUGAGGUUCCCAUAGGUUAGGGGAACAAUGCUUUUUCUUCCACAGGAGCUGCUGCAGGCUUAGUGCCUGGUGGGCCAGGCUUUGGCCCGGGAGUAGUUGGUGUCCCAGGAGCUGGCGUUCCAGGUGUUGGUGUCCCAGGAGCUGGGAUUCCAGUUGUCCCAGGUGCUGGGAUCCCAGGUGCUGCGGUUCCAGGGGUUGUGUCACCAGAAGCAGCUGCUAAGGCAGCUGCGAAGGCAGCCAAAUACGGGGCCAGGCCCGGAGUCGGAGUUGGAGGCAUUCCUACUUACGGGGUUGGAGCUGGGGGCUUUCCCGGCUUUGGUGUC